UAACUCCAGCUCUUCGAUCUAUAAAUAGAGGCGCCCAUUCAUACAAUUCUGAAUUCUUUACCUGCGAGCCAUCCUGCGAGGCAUUGAUCUAGGUUCUCUCUCAGUAUUUUCUUCGGCUUCAAGUUCUUGGUAUCUUUCUUCUUCGUUUACUGCUUUCGAUCUUUUUGCUAAUCAGGGUAUCAGCAAUCCGUGGGUGCUAUGGUUUCAGCGAUUUGUGGAUGCAGGGUUUCAGCGACGAGGGGAAACUAGGUUUUUUCAUUCGAUCCGUAAAUUAUGAUUUUGUUCUCCUGCUCUACGUACGCUAUUAGGGUUUCUCGAUUUACGAAAUCUUGUCCUGAUAUUGAAGUUUUAGAUCGUGUUGCAUAUGCUUGGAGUUUGGAUCAUCUUCUGUGCCUCUCGUGUUUGAUUUGCCUUUAAAUCUUUACUGUGAAUUUGGAUUAAUUGCUCAAAUUCACAUGAUAGACAGUUGAUUUUGUCACUUCCAGGAUUGAAAUCGUUUGGAUAUGUGUUCUAAUCUUGUCGUGUAGAAGAUCCUGCCUUGAAUUUUGCCUUUCCUUGCGUUGGAUUUCAUCCUCUCAGCAAUUUAUUAUAGUUCUACUUUUGGUUUUUGGUGCGGGUCUAUUUGGAAGCUUUAAGCUAAUGUUUGAGGAAACAUGGAUUCAAAGAAUUAUUUUCUACAUAAUAUUUUUUUGGGAACACGUGACAGUGCUGGAGGGCGAGUUACGUGAGAAAAUUUUGUCUGGCUGGUUUGGUUCCUUUACUUCCUCUUCAGUUUGCGCGAUUCUGAAUUAAUUUAUCGAGUCUUUUUUGCAAAAUGGUGUCACACACUUCUCAUUUGUGCGAUCAUGAUGCUUAUAGCAGGCCAUGGUGACCCCUGACUUUAUAAUUAAUCUUUUUGGAACCUGUAACAGUGCUGGAAGGCGAGUUAUGUGAGAAAAUCUUGUCUGGCUGGUUUGGUUCCUUUAUUUUGCGCGAUUCUGAAUUAAUUUAUCAAGUCUUUUUUGCAAAAUAGUGUCACACUCUUCUCAUUUGUGCGUCAUGAUGCUUAUAGCAGGGCGUGGUGACCCCUAACUUUAUAAUUAAUCUUUUUUGGGAACACGUGACAGUGCUGGAGGGCGAGUUACGUGAGAAAAUUUUGUCUGGCUGGUUUGAUUCCUUUACUUCCUCUUCAGUUUGCGCGAUUUUGAAUUAAUUUAUCAAGUCUUUUUUGCAAAAUGGUGUCACACACUCCUCAUUUGUGCGAUCAUGAUGCUUAUAGCAGGGCAUGGUGACCCCUGACUUUAUAAUUAAUCUUUUUGGAACCUGUGACAGUGCUGGAGGGCGAGUUAUGUGAGAAAACUUUGUCUGGCUGGUUUGGUUCCUUUAUUUUGCGCGAUUCUGAAUUAAUUUAUCAAGUCUUUUAUGCAAAAUGGUGUCACACUUCUCAUUUGUGCGAUCAUGAUUCUUAUAGCAGGGCGUGGUGACCCCUAACUUUAUAAUUAAUCUUUUUUGGGAACACGUGACAGUGCUGGAGGGCGAGUUACGUGAGAAAAUUUUGUCUGGCUGGUUUGGUUCCUUUACUUCCUCUUCAGUUUGCGCGAUUUUGAAUUAAUUUAUCAAGUCGUUUUUGCAAAAUGGUGUCACACACUCCUCUUUUGUGCGAUCAUGAUGCUUAUAGCAGGGCAUGGUGACCCCUGACUUUAUAAUUAAUCUUUUUGGAACCUGUGACAGUGCUGGAGGCCGAGUUAUGUUGAGAACAUUUUGUCUGGCUGGUUUGGUUCCUUUACUCCCUAUUCAGUUUGCGCGAUUCUGAAUUAAUUUAUCAAGUCUUUUUUGCAAAAUGGUGUCACACUGUUCUCUUUUGUUCGAUCAUGAUGCUUAUAGCAGGGCAUGGUGACCCCUGACUUUAUAAUUAAUCUUUUUGAAACCCGUGACAGUGCUGGAGGGCGAGUUACGUGAGAAAAUUUUGUCAGGCUGGUUUGGUUCCUUUAUAAUUAAUCUUUUUGAAACCAACCCUUCACUUUAUAAUUAAUCUUUUUGAAACCCGUGACAGUGCUGGAGGGCGAGUUACGUGAGAAAAUUUUGUCUGGCUGGUUUGAUUCCUUUACUUCCUCUUCAGUUUGCACGAUUCUGAAUUAAUUUAACUAGUCUUUUUUGCAAAUGGCUUCCUCCUCAUUUGUGCGGUCAUGAUGCUUAUAGCAGGGUAUGGUGUCCCCUAACUUUAUUCUGGCAUGCAGUCAACAAUUUUCAUUCGUUUGUGGCUCCCAGGACCCCCUUAGUUUUCGAAUGGAAAAUGAAGUCUGCUUUUUCAGUGCUUUAAGGAAUGUUUGGGCUGGCAUAUUUCGGAAUCAACACUUGUGCGGUCAUGAUGCUUAUAUAGCAGGGCAUGGUGUCCCCUAACUUUAUUUUGGAUUGCAGCCAACAAUUCUCAUUCCUAACCUACUUAUCCUAGAUGCUGUUUGUUUUUGGCUUCCAGGACCCCUUUAGUUUUCGAAUGGAAAAUGAAGUCUGCUUUUGCAGUGCUUUAAGGAAUGUUUGGGCUGGCAUAUUUCGGAAUCAACACUUGUGCGGUCAUGAUGCUUAUAUAGCAGGGCAUGGUGUCCCCUAACUUUAUUUUGGAUUGCAGCCAACAAUUCUCAUUCCUAACCUACUUAUCCUAGAUGCUGUUUGUUUGUGGCUCCCUUUAGUUUUCGAAUGCAAAAUGAAGUCUGCUUUUUCAGUGCUGUAAGGAAUGUUUGAGCUGGCACAUUUCGUAAUUACCUCGGCGUUGCUUGGGCUGCUUCUUUUCAUUUUCACCCCGCCAAGAUUUUUUAUAGCUGAUCACUUUUCAACAAUUAUGGACCAAGUAUCUUUAAAUUCGAGUUCUCAUUUUGAUCAAUAAUUUUAUGUUGGCCUUUUGUUUUGCAUGUUUUCUUGGCCUUUUGUCAGUGGUUUUAUCUCUAUGUCCAACUUCAGCAACAGGGCUGUUUUCUUUGCUCUUUUAUCUCGAUAUCCUGUUUUCAGCAACAGGGCUGUUUUAUCUCUAAUUUUAUGUAAUUGUUUUUUUACAUUUUAAUCUACAAUUUGUUCUUGGUUUUACAAAACACUAACUUUUAUCUCCUCGUUUGUGUUAUUUUCCAGGACCAUUCAUGCUUGUUAAGGAAACCAUGACCUAGAGUUAAGCCCUGGGAGUGUUCAAUAUGUUAACUUCUCCUUUUCUUUACCUGGUUAUUAUAUUUUAGUCUCAAGUUUUGAGUAUGUGUUAUUCCAGGAGCAUGGACUUUGAGCAUUUGAGUCUUUUACUUGUGCUAACAAAAUUGCAGUGACCUAAGUUUUUGCUUUGAUCAUUUAUGUUAGUGUUUGACCUUUAGUUGGACACUUUUCUAGGAUCCUUUUAAAUUUAUCAAGGACCAUGUUUGAACUACAUUCAACCCAGGAGAAAUUCUAGCCUAGCUGGUUUGAUUUCCUUUCUUUCUCUUCAGAUUGCACUGUUCUGAAUUAAAUAAAGCUAUUCUUGGCUGAAUGCUGUUAUACUCUGUGCAUUUGUACUGAUCAUGUUGCUUUCAGGAGGGCACGGUGUCUCUUUAACUUUAUUUUGGUAUUGCAGUCAACAUUCUUAUUUUUCACCAUUUGUUUUAGAUUCUGUUUGUUUGAGGUUUCCUAGGACCCCAUUUGUUUUGUAAUGAAUGUUUGGCUGGCAAAGUUCUGGAACUAACUUGACAUUGAUUGAACCAAUAACUUUUCAACAGUAAUAGAUCAAGUGUCUUCAACUUUCUUCUCUCAUUUCAAUCAAUACUUUUGUCUUGGCUCUUUUCUUUGCGUGUUUUUCCUGGAUUCAUUCAGUCAUGGACUUCGUGCAAUGAGAUGAAGCUUUUGAAACUUGCAUUGGAGACUAAGUUCCUCUGAGUCCUGUAUAAUCUACACUGGUUAAAUAGGUAGCAUUUGGGUUUGAUUAUGUGUUCUUCCAAGAGCUUGAGAUUUUUGCAAUGGUUUUUUUGUUACCUCCGACCUGCUUCAAAUUUUACUUGCAAUGGGGCUGUUUUCUUUACUCAUUUCUCUCCAUAUCACUUUCAACUUCUGACAACUGUGUCAACAGUAGUUAUGCUUGCUUAUUUUCGUUUUAUUUUGUGCAGAUUUUUCUAGAUAAUAUUUUCAAUAAGAUAGCACCAAGUGUUUCCUAACUUUUCCCUUUCAUUUAUUUCAAAAUUAUUGUUUCUUUGUUUUCUUCAUUCUAGUCAACAAGUUUUAAUUUAUACUAAAAUAUAACUUGUGUCCGAUGUUUGCUUGCAUGUUUUUCCAGGAUCCCUCCAAGUUAUCAAGGAACAUAUAUGGAUUAUGAUUGCUUGGAGGGGUGUUUAUUUCAGAGUACUCUUUCCUCUGCCUUGCAUUAAAUUUGAGUGUUCAGACGAACAUUCUGAUUGAUUUUUUUUUCUAGAAGCUUAUAGUUGGACAAUGGUGAUUCUUUGCAACUUGCACUUCUAUUUUAAAUCUGUAUUUGUGUAUACAAUUUCUUCUUUAAUUCUUUUAGGAUCGUAGCAAGCAUUCUAGGGAAUGGGCAACUCGGUGCUGUCUGCUCAAGGCAAUGGUUUUUGUUACUGGGUCUAAGCUUUAUCAGUAGGAGCCAUCUUGCUUUACCUUGUUUUUCUUAUAAAUUCUUUUUUUGCCUUGCUUUGGAAUCUCUCUCAACAUUUUCUUAUGUUCAUUACUUUAAUUCCAUUUUGGGCAGACAUCUAGAUGGAUUUUUCUGAGAAAAAUGCAUCUAGUGUCUUGUAAUAUUAUUUUACAUUUCAAUCCACUGUUUUUCUUGACUCUACAAAAUAUUACUGUUGUUUGUUUUUCCAGUAUCCUUCUUGUUGUCAAGGAAUGCAUAUGAACCCGGGUUUAGAGCCAGGGAGUGCCAAGUAUACUGUGCUUAUUGUAUUGUAGAAAGUUUUUGUUUGUGUUAUGCAUAUGAACACGAGUUUUAGUCAGGGAGUGGUGUACGUUCUUUAUUGUACUGUAGUAAGUUUCUGUUUGUGUUAUUCCAGUGAACAAUUGAGUCUUUUGCUUGAUGCUCAUGAACUUGACUAAGUUUCUGCUUUGCUGUUUUAAAUGCUUCCAUCUGUUUAAUAGAGCGACAGUUCCAGAUUACUUGUGUAACUAGAAUUUUACCUUCAGUUGCAUGUUUUUGUAGGAUCCUUCCAAAAUGUAUCAAGAACCAUAUUUGGAUGACAAUUAGAUCCGGAUUCAUUGCCUACAUCUUUUCCUCUCUCUGCUUAUAUUUUUUUUCCUUUAUGUAUGAUUUAAGAUUCGAACUUCCUGUCUUUCCAGGUGCAUGAAGUUGGAACUAUGAACAUCUUUUAUACGUGAUGCUUCAAACUUUGGAGUGCUCACAAGUGAUUCUUUGUCUCUGCCUUUGUAUCUUUUAAUAAAAUUUGUACUUGUUUAAAAGGAUCUAGGCUUUGAGUUUUAAUUUUGUGUUCUUUUAGGAUGCCAUCAAGCAUUUAGGCAAUGGUUUGAAAGUAAACAAGGAAUUAUAAUUCCAGCUCCAAGCUAAGCUCCACCAAGAGGAUCCAUUUUUCUUUCCUAUUGUUUUCAUUAUCAGUUUUCAACAGUGAUGGAUCAAGUGCCUUUUCCUUUGUUUUCUCAUUUCAAUCGUUAAAUUUGUGUCUGCUUUUUGUAUGCAUUUUCUUCAGGAUUUGUUCAGUUUGAAAGGAACAUAUAACACUAGGAUUACCCUUCAAUUUAAUGCUUUUUGUAUUUUUCUGCGUGGCACUGGGACAUACUAGAGUGUGCUUAUUUGUAAGCUUUUGGUUUUCAGGUUCAUGGAGGCAUAUAUGGUGCUUUUGAAACUUCAACUGGAGACUAAAUUCAUCUUUAAUUCCUUUUCCAAGUCUUAUAUAAUUUAUAGGGGUUAAAUAACUAGCUUUUGAUAUUAAUCAUGUCUUCUUCCCCUAAUCUAUCAUCAACUGUUUUGAGGAAACUUGGUGUAGUUUGCUUGUGCUUUUUGCAGUGGCUUCUUGUUACUUUCUACCAACUUCAAAUAAACUUCACCAAUAGUGCUGUUUUUUAUCUCUCUUAUUUCCCCAUUAACUUCUGACCAUUCUUCUGCUUGCUUAAUUUUCUUUUAUUUUGUGCAGAUACAUUCUGGCUGAUAGUGUUUCCAACAAGAUUACACAGUUUCUUAAGAUGCCUUUCCCAUUUUAGAUCAAAACGAGUUUUUGUUAAACGUUGUUUUUUUAUUCUAGUCAACAAGUUCUUAUAUUUAUUAAAAUAUAACUAGUCUGACCUUUACUUGCAAACUUUUUUCUAGGAUCCCUCCAAUUUAUCAAGGAUGUGGACUGCAGUUAUCUGGGAGUGUUUAUUUCAUUACCUACUCUUUCCUUUAUGUUCUGGCAAGGAUGUUUUCAAGAACAAUGUACAAGUUUUCAGGGUCAUCAACUCCGUGCGAUGAGAGCGCUUAAAUGGUGCUUUUGAAACUUCCACUGGAGAUUAAAUUCAUCUUUAAUUCCUUUUCCAAGUCUUAUAUAAUUUAUAUGGGUUAAAUAGCUAGCUUUUGAUAUUAAUCGUGUCUUCUCCCCCUAAUCUAUCAUCAACUGUUUUGAGGAAAUUUGGUGUAGUUUGCUUGUGCUUUUUGCAUUGGCUUGUUGUUACUUUCUUACCAACUUCAAAUGAACUUCACCAAUGGUGCUGUUUUUUUAUCUCUCUUAUUUCCCCAUUUCAACUUCUGACCAUUCUUCUGCUUGCUUAAUUUUCUUUUGUAUUGUGCAGAUACUUUCUGGCUGAUAGUGUUUUCAACAAGAUUACAUACAAGAGUUUCUUAAGAUGCCUUUCCAUUUUAGAUCAAAACGAGUUUUUGUUAAACUUUGCCUUUUCAUUCUAGUCAAUAAGUUCUUAUAUUCACUAAAAUAUAACUAGUCUGACAUUAAACUUUUUUCUAGGAUCCUUCCAAUUUAACGAUGAUGUGGACUACAAUUAUCUGGGAGUGUUUAUUUCAUUACCUACCCUUUCCUUUCUUUGCUAGUAUUUUUGUCUUUUACUAAGAUGUGUGUCUUUUCUGGAGAAUGACUAGUGUCUGACAUUAAACUUUUUUCUAGGAUCCUUCCAAUUUAACGAGGAUGUGGACUACAAUUAUCUGGGAGUGUUUAUUUCAUUACCUACCCUUUCCUUUCUUUGCUAGUAUUUUAAGUUGAUAAUGAGUUUUUUUUUCUUACAUGAGGCUUUUGAGCUUGCAGUCCUCUUUUAACUCGGUGUAGUGGUUUGUAGGCAAGGAUGUUUUCAAGAACAAUGUACACGUAUUUUGUGACUAUUUUUACAUUUUAAUCCUUGAUUCUGUGAAAUUGUGACUGGUGUCUGUUCUGCUGCUUGCUUGUGUAUUUUUUCAGGAUCCUUAAGCUGUGUCAAGGGAUAUAUGCUAAUCAGGCUUAAGUUGGGGAGUGCUUGAUAAUAUUUCCUCCUUUCUUUCACCUGCUUAUGAUAUUUAGUCUUAAGUUUCAGUUCCAAUUUGUGUUAGGACUUCGAACAUUGGAGUCUUCUGCACUUGAGCCUCUGGAAUUUGCAGUGAUCUAGGUUUCUGCGUAGCUGUUUUAAACACUUUAAUUUGUGUAAUGGAGCUACAGUCCCAAGUUUAUUCAUGCUGCUAGUGUCUGACCUUAGUGGUACCUUCUCAUCUAGGAUCUCUCCAAAUAAAUGAAGGAACAUAUUUGGACUAGAAUCAACCAAAGAUUGUUUAAAUUCAUUACCUGCUUUUGUUUUUUGCCUUUUCUUGUAUUUUUUUUUGUUGCAUUGCAUUUUGAGUGUUUGGUCUAAGAACCUUAUGUUGUCAUUCCAGGAACAUGAAGUUCAAGCAACACUAGUCUUUUAUAUGUGAUGUUUCAGAAUUUUGCGCUACUUAAGUCCCUCUUCAACUCCUUUUUGUCUUAUUAAAUUUCCACCUGUUUAAUAGAGCUAGAGUCCUUGUUUUAAUUGUGUGUUUUUGUUGGAUCUCAUCAACCCUUUUAGGGCAUGGACUAAAAUUAAACAAGGAAUUGUAACACGGUGCAGUCUGCUCAAGGCAGGUUCUACCAGCUCCAAGUCAAAGGUUUACCAAUAGGGGACAUUUUUCUGUACUAUUGUUUUCUUGAUACAUUCUUCCUUGAGUAUAUUGAAAUCUUUUAUUCUCGUUAAUUUUAAUUCUAUUUUGUUUUAUUCUCGUUAAUUUUAAUUCUAUUUUGUGCAGGUGUUUUCUAGAUGAUGUUGUAUGCCAAGUGUCUUCUUACUUUGUUUCUACAUUUUAAACCACCACUUUUCUUUUGAUUCUAAAACAAUAGAGCUAGUGUCUCUGUUUUAAUUGUGUGUUUUUGUGGGAUCUCAUCAAGCAUUUUUAGGGCAUGGAUUGGAGGGUGUUUAUAUUCUUUGUGAUUAGAUGAUUGAUGCUUUUGAGAGCUUCUCUGCACUCUCUUCAUGUUUGUUGUUCUUCUGUUAUUUAUUUUAUUAUUAUUUUUAUUACUGCUACUAUUAUUACUAGUGGUGGUGGUGGUAAUAGUAGUAAGUAGUAUUUGACUUUAUACAAUCUCCUAUUAAAAUGAAUUUAAGUUAAAGAGUGAACAGGGCGAUUUGCUAUAUCACUAAUUGUGAUGCCAGCAUGUGUUUUUUUGCAUUCAAGUUAUGUUUUUUAACUUAUGAUUUGGUUGUAUGUUUUUUCAGGGUGUCAUUUAGUAAUAUAUGGACUUUUUCUCUAAUUGUGAUGCUAGUAUUGGAUUGAUAUAUGGUAUGUGUUAUCUGAUGAUGUGGACUGUUUUUUGGUAUGUGUUGAUGUUUCAGCAACUUGCAUUGUUUCUUUGUGUUUAAUAAUGUUUUGUCCUCUAGAAUUCUUACUUUUAUAAAGAGUUAAGAAGCUGAGCUUUGCUUCAUUGUGUUUCUCCAGUAUCUCUUCAAAUGAUGAAUGGGAGGUUAUUAGUAUGCUUGUCUUACUACAGCAGGUCUCCUUUGCCUUGUUCUUGAGGUUUUUCUUUGCUUCUUCCCCAUAAAUCUUCUUGCUAAAUAUUUCUUGAGCAUUCUUUCUUAUUUUGCUUUCAGAAGCUUGUGAGUUGUUAAAUUGUCUGUUCAAAAUUGUUUUUGCAUUUUAAUCACCUUUUUUUUACUUACAAAACUAGAGUCUAAGCUCUGUUUGCAUGUUUAUAGGAUCUCUUUGUUUUUCUUAAUUAAAUAAAUUCCGGCCAAGAUAUACGAAGGAGUGUUCCUCUUGCUUUUGAUUCUUGUUGUUUCUAUUUGUACCAUCGACAACAUACCCAUUUGUUUCAGCAUCAAGGAGGAUCUCUUUGACUGUAUGUUUCUCAGGGUGUCUUCAAGAAUUACAAUGGCUUGUUUUCAAGUGUAAUCAAAUGAUAACAGCUCUCCACAACUGGCAAAGCACCAGAUGUGUUUUAAUUUGCUUUACAUCUAUGCUUACUAAUUCUCAAAUAGAGGUAAAAUCUGUAACUAGGUUUGCGCAUUUUUUUAUGGAAAUUUGUUUUCAAUUAUUUUGUCUUGACAUGUUAUUCUCUCAUAAAUAUUUUCCCCAGUCAGCGGUUAUUUUUUCUACGUUUUAUUCUACACAUUAUAGAUGUUUUCAAAGAUAAUUAUUUUCCCAACAACUUGUAAACAUGUUGUUUCCUUAAUUUUGGUUGUGCAGUAUAAAUGAAAAUAAUCCGCUUCUACUUGCAUCGAUUCUAAGCUUUUCUGUGUUAUUGGGUGGUCUUAAACUUACAAGGGAAUUUGUGCUUUUGGUUCUUAGUAAUGUGUGACUUCUGAUUGCUCUGCUUUUUCUUCUAUAUGCUCUUGGUUUAGGUUUUGUUCCUUCAAAAUUGUCGAGCCAUCUAUUUUGCAGGCAGGGCAAAGCUCAAAAUUGUUGGGCAUUGAGUAAUGUCUUUUGCUUUUGCUGAUACAUGAAGUACUUCUUUCCUUUCUCAGACUGGGGAGUGUGUGUAACUCGGUUCUAUGCGCGUCUAGUUUGCUUUGGGUUCAUCCUCUUUAACUCUCUCUGUGUACAUAUGAAGUGAUUGGCUGAAUUUGUUUUUACCUUUCAUCUUUUCAGGGUCCCAAGGCUCAUUUAUGAGGGAAGUGUUUCUUCAGGGUCUUGGUGAUGUGACAUCUGGUUAAUCAUAUUUUUUCCUCAAAGCUCUUAUUUCAGAUUCUCUCUCGAAGUUGUCUGAUCCUUUGCUUUUGCAAUUUGAUUAGAACAAGCAAAGUUACAAGUGAGCCAACUAUUGUUUCACUAAUGCUAUAGAUCUGCAAAUUUUCCCGUGUUGCUAUCUGCUCUGCCUUCAUUGUGCUGUUAUAGGUUUUUCCAAAUGGCUCCUCCUUUUCAAGCUCUCUGUAACCAGAGUAACAAGGUCAAGUUGGUUUUUGUUGGUGUGCUCUUGUUUAAGUUUAUUUUUAUAAAAUCCUAAAACUUCAACUGGAAUGAGAAUGGUGAAGCGAGUCCUUGAUGCUUGGGGUUGCUUUGGGAUACUUGAUGAGUUUCUGUUCUGGUUGUAAUCUUUCCUGCGAAAUUGUUCUUUUAUAGGAGGGUAAUUGAUGGAUCAGCUUCUUUUGGAGAUACAUGUAAAGAUCAGAUGGCAAGUGUUUCUAGAAGGGUUCCUUUGCUUUUAAUUGAUUUCCUUUGCGUCAACUCUUGUUCUUUUCAUCAAUAUUUCUUGGCUUUUGAGUCUUUUCUGGGGCUGAUGAACAUGGAUGAAGCUGCUAGCUACUGAUAUUUCAACAGCUGGAAUGUCUUCUCCUUUCUCGUUAAAACACUUGUCUACCAUGUGGUGCCUUGUACUGUGUUUUUUUUUGGAUCAGUGGAUGCUGGUCAAGUCUUGGAUAUUCUCAAUGUUUCGGGUUUGUGAAUUUUAGAAAUGGUAGUUUCAUGUCCAUUUGUCUUUGCUAAGUAAUUGUGGUGUUCUGAUGUUGGCUAUACUUGACGCAUGUGGUAGGCCUGACCUGCUGACCUGUGUCUCUGUUGCUUAUGCUCAUUGUGUUUUAGGAACCAGUGGAUGGCUAUUGACCCAUUGAAAGUCUUGCUGGCUGCUCAGUUUAUGCCUGAGUCUGGCUUAGUCUUCCUAUUAAAUGGCAGUGUCUACUUGGCUGUUGGAGUUAUUGAUGGAUGGCUAGUUAUUGUUUGGUGAAUUUGGUUUGCAGGGAUUACCAGCUGUGCUUCACUUUGGUAUUUUGGCUUUUUGUAUUUUGCCUGAGCUUCUGCUAUUUGAAGUUACGGUCCAAUCAUGUUGCCAUAUCAAAUACUGAAUUUACAUCAUGGUUUGGGUUAAGAUUGCCUUUGGUAAUAUGUUGGAUCUUGUAAAAUAUUCUUUCACUUCUGAAUACCUGUGUACCAAUCUGAUGGUUUUCGAAGGUGUUUGAUAUCUCCUGCAUUAAGUACGUGUGAAAAACGAAGCUAUUGUUGUUGGAAUUGUCAAGUUGCUUUGCAUGGAUCGAGGUUUCUGUUUGUUCUUGAUACAUCUUCUUGUGUUGGACUGUCCUUGAAUUUUGGUUCCGUGGUAUCAGAUUGUGGUAGUAGUUAACGUUGAUUUGUCAAAGUGUUGCUCUAAGAGGAGCUACAGUUUUGCAAAGUAUGCAGCAAAUAUGAUUUUACAGCUCAAGGUUUUUGAAUGCUCGAUUCUAUUAUCUGUACUGGGGUUCGUUUGAUAUCCAUUGCUUUUAUGAUGUGCUUAGGCCUUUGUCUUUCUGGAAGAGUUUGCUUCUGCAUGCUUAUUUCUCUGUUGAGUGCUUGUUGGUACCUGUGUGUGGUUGAAUGCAUGUAACUCCGCCUGUGCUGCAUUUCAUAGCACACAGCCGGUCUCAAGCCCGGGUUAAGGAGGAGAGAUGCAUGCCAUGUAAUAUAUGGUGAUGGAGUUAUAUUAUUAUUAACCCGUGCUGCACACCCAGGUGCUUAUCUUUACUUUUGCUUUGUGGAUAUAUCGGAUCAGGGCAUGUCUGGUCUCUGCUGCUUGUAUGCCCCCAUUGAUUUGGGAACACUAAAUGUGGAAUAACGAGAUGUUAAAAUUGAUUUGGGUCACCGCAUGAGUGGUCAAGUCACCAGUUUGUUGGGUGAUUUGUUCUUGUAAAUGGCCAUGGCAUCUUUAAAUCUUUUGCUGGGGUUAUAGAUUGGCCUUUAAAUAUCUUGAUUCAAAUUUGUGGCAUCAGGGUUCUUUAGAUUUCCCUUGGUCUGGGGGGCCAACUUAUGUGGUGUCCUCGCCUAGAAGGGGUAUGCUUUGCUGAAAAGAGGUGUUCAGCUUUUUCUAUACUCUGCGCAUUCUUAACUCAGUUACACAGAAUUUGUUACCCCUUUUUACCCUUCAUGUAAAUGUAUUUGCUUAUAUAUAUAUAUAUAUAUAUUCUCUUUCUUUCCGGCAAAGGCUUAUCCGUGGUUUUGCCUUAACAAUAUUUUUUUUGCUUCCAGUUGAUUCAGCUCUCUGGAUGAGAAAUCAUGAGAUGGUCAAGGCUCUUUCUGCCAACCAGUAAGUAAUGGCUGUGAAAGACCGUGAUGCUGGAACUUGAAGGCGAUGGCGCGUUUGUCUUUUCCAUGUAUAUAUUCACACUCGAUUUACUGUUGUAUUUAUCUGUGCACUGCACGAUUAAAUCAAUAGAAAGUAAAUUUUUCUUAUUC